UUGCACAUUAGCAGUUACUACCCAUUUCCAA
rnacentral:piRNA from 1 species